rnacentral:rRNA from 1 species
GUGGGGAAUAUUGGACAAUGGGCGAAAGCCUGAUCCAGCCAUGCCGCGUGUGUGAAGAAGGUCUUCGGAUUGUAAAGCACUUUAAGUUGGGAGGAAGGGCAGUAAGUUAAUACCUUGCUGUUUUGACGUUACCGACAGAAUAAGCACCGGCUAACUUCGUGCCAGCAGCCGCGGUAAUACGAAGGGUGCAAGCGUUAAUCGGAAUUACUGGGCUUAAAGCGCGCGUAGGUGGUUUUGUAAGUUGGAGGUGAAAUCCCCGGGCUCAACCUGGGAACUGCCUCCAAAACUGCAUGACUAGAGUACGGUAGAGGGUAGUGGCAUUUCCUGUGUAGCGGUGAAAUGCGUAGAUAUAGGAAGGAACACCAGUGGCGAAGGCGACUACCUGGACUGAUACUGACACUGAGGUGCGAAAGCGUGGGGAGCAAACAGGAUUAGAUACCCCAGUAGUCC